CCUACGGGAGGCAGCAGUGAGGAAUAUUCGUCAAUGGCCGGAAGGCUGAACCAGCAAUGCCGCGUGAAGGUCAGUGCCCUAUGGGCGUUAAACCCCUUUUGUGCGGGAGCAAUAAUGGUCACGUGUGGCCAGACGAGAGUACCGUACGAAUAAGCAUCGGCUAACCCCGUGUCAGCAGCAGCGGUAAUACGGGGGAUGCAAGCGUUAUCCGGAUUUAUUGGGUUUAAAGGGUGCGUAGGGUGUGAGGUAAGUCAGCGGUGAAAUGCCCCCGCUCAACGGGGUGAAGUGCCAUUGAUACUGCCUGGCUGGAAUGCGGAUGCGGUGGGAGGAAUGUGUGGUGUAGCGGUGAAAUGCAUAGAUAUCACACAGAACACCGAUUGCGAAGGCAGCUCACGAAUCCGCGAUUGACGCUGAUGCACGAAAGCGUGGGUAUCAAACAGGAUUAGAUACCCCAGUAGUC
rnacentral:rRNA from 1 species